rnacentral:rRNA from 1 species
AUUGAACGCUGGCGGCAGGCCUAACACAUGCAAGUCGAACGGUAACAGGAAGCAGCUUGCUGCUUUGCUGACGAGUGGCGGACGGGUGAGUAAUGUCUGGGAAACUGCCUGAUGGAGGGGGAUAACUACUGGAAACGGUGGCUAAUACCGCAUAACGUCGCAAGACCAAAGAGGGGGACCUUCGGGCCUCUUGCCAUCAGAUGUGCCCAGAUGGGAUUAGCUUGUUGGUGAGGUAACGGCUCACCAAGGCGACGAUCCCUAGCUGGUCUGAGAGGAUGACCAGCCACACUGGAACUGAGACACGGUCCAGACUCCUACGGGAGGCAGCAGUGGGGAAUAUUGCACAAUGGGCGCAAGCCUGAUGCAGCCAUGCCGCGUGUAUGAAGAAGGCCUUCGGGUUGUAAAGUACUUUCAGCGGGGAGGAAGGUGUUGUGGUUAAUAACCGCAGCAAUUGACGUUACCCGCAGAAGAAGCACCGGCUAACUCCGUGCCAGCAGCCGCGGUAAUACGGAGGGUGCAAGCGUUAAUCGGAAUUACUGGGCGUAAAGCGCACGCAGGCGGUCUGUCAAGUCGGAUGUGAAAUCCCCGGGCUCAACCUNNAACUGCAUUCGAAACUGGCAGGCUUGAG